UCCGAAGGGGGCUAGCGUUGUUCGGAAUUACUGGGCGUAAAGCGCGCGCAGGCGGCUAUCCAAGUCAGUGGUGAAAGCCCGGAGCUCAACUCCGGAACUGCCAUUGAAACUGUUUAGCUUGAGGAUGAGAGAGGUGAGUGGAAUUCCCGGUGUAGAGGUGAAAUUCGUAGAUAUUGGGAAGAACACCGGUGGCGAAGGCGGCUCACUGGCUCAUUACUGACGCUCAGGCGCGAUAGCGUGGGGAUCAAACAGG
rnacentral:rRNA from 1 species